UGCCCUAAUCCAGAGUGAUUUCUUUCUAAUGUGAUUUCAUGUGUAAAGAUCCUAUUUCCAGACAAGAAAGAUCACCAGCGCAGAUGGGGGAGCAGAGAUCAGUCCGUCACCGUAUCCUUUUGGGAGACCCAGCUCAAUCCACAGCAGUUGAGUUCCACCUGAAACAGACCCUGAGACAAAGAUUUGAAUGCAGAGAGUUUAUUUGUGAGGGGCUCCCCAGGAGUCCUGGUAAGUGAGUGGUGAAGUGAGAAAGAGCAGGGAAGGGAACCAAUAGGGAGGGCAUUAAUGAGCAAGAUGUGGUAGUGGGCAGUUGGGCCUCAGUCAUCUUGGGAGCCUCCAGGAGACAAUGUCAACAGCAUCUCAGAGGUGGUCCCACCUGGGAAAUUUGGGGAAUUUAACCCCCGUCUUUCCCAUGGGCUGAAAGCUCUCGGGCAGUAGGAAAUGGCCACAUGGAGGAAGAGUGAGUAGCCACGGGUGGACUGCCAGCAGCUCUGCCACAACAUCAGAUCACGGAGCCUUCUCUUUCCCAGACAAGGAAUUCCUAUUGGAAAUCACUUCAAUUACUUUUCUGAACAUGGGCAGAAGUUAUCUACCUGGCUUUCCACAUGCCUUGCGGUUCUAGGUUAGGAGUGAGGCAUCGAGGAGAAAGAGAUCCUACAGCUGGGGUUUCCAAACUCUGCCCAAGAGGGAGCUCAAUGCUUUCCCUUUUUUUCUGCUUUUCCUUACCAUGCCACGCUGGACGCAUGUUCCUGGGCCUCCCCAGGACUCGAGCGGCCUGGCGGGCCCCCCAGGCUGUCUCUGAUCCCCUGGACGGUGCAGC
rnacentral:lncRNA from 12 species